rnacentral:lncRNA from 1 species
GGGUGGGGCUUGGAGCCAGACUAUAAAUUGGGACAGCUGAGCUUGCAGAAUCCAGACAACCAAACUCCAUCAAUCAAGAGGAACUUAAUCCAGGGAGGCAUGUAGAAGAGCCUAUUUACAUCAUUAACUUGCCAACUUUGUGUAUAUACAUGUGCAGACACGCAUGCAUAAUAUACCAUAAGGCAGCAUAACUGAUAGUGGACCUUAAGGUAUGUUUCUGUGUCCUUUCUAUCAGUUCACAAAUUACAAGUAGGCAAGAAGCGCUGCCUUAGACCUUGGAUUUUCAGUUUUCUGCUGUUUGGUCUGUAUGUUUUAUAUUUUUAGCCCUUUGAAAAAAAUGUCAUCCUUUUCCCAGGGUUCUUCUGCUCACUGGGUCAGAAGCAUCCGAUUUCCUGUCAUCGGUUGCGGUUCAGCCAUGUUAAUACUGAAAGUAUAAGAAUAUCAUAAUCCCAGAGUGAUAUAAAGACCUUUCCAAGGAAGAUGAGAUACCCGGAGGCUGUGAAGGAGAAGUCUGAAGGAUUUGAACGCGUUCAAAUGAAAACCUUUGGUUCAGCAAAACACCAGAAACAAAUUCAAAAGAUAAAAUACACUCCGGAGAAGCCCAUUCUCUCAACGCAUCUGACAGUUCACAAAGAGCAACUGCAGUCCAACUUAAAAAAUAAAGAAAAUGGUAGGAAAAUGGGCAACAUGCACUGAGGCAAUAUAUAAGAAGAAGGAAUGCGCAAUUAAUCAACAAAAGCCUGCUCUUUCCUAACGAGUGAAGAUACAAGCUUAGUAAAUAUUAAAAUUUAUUGAAGAUAAAAAUGGACACUUCCGGCCAUAUAUAAAAGCAUUGUUGGUAAGAGAGUGGGGUAAUUGACAUGCUCCUGGGAAAUAAUACGCAUUCAGACAACCUCUAAUGAGUGAAUCCACUGGGGGUAUCCACUAGGAAUAGAAAACGACCACCAAUGCCCAAGUUUGUGGUCCAGAAUUUGAGCAGCGAUCUAACAAAGUAGAGUCUCCCCCUGUGUCAUGGGCCCCACUUCUUAAGCAAAGAAGAAUGCCUCAUUUUGGUAACUCACCCAAAUAAACAGAAAUUUUUUUUGAUAAUCUUAUCGCAUUUAUUUGGUUAAGUCUGAG